AUUGAACGCUGGCGGCAUGCCUUACACAUGCAAGUCGAACGGCAGCACGGGAGCAAUCCUGGUGGCGAGUGGCGAACGGGUGAGUAAUGUAUCGGAACGUGCCCAGUCGUGGGGGAUAACGUAGCGAAAGCUACGCUAAUACCGCAUACGAUCUAUGGAUGAAAGCGGGGGAUCGCAAGACCUCGCGCGAUUGGAGCGGCCGAUAUCAGAUUAGGUAGUUGGUGGGGUAAAGGCCCACCAAGCCUGCGAUCUGUAGCUGGUCUGAGAGGACGACCAGCCACACUGGAACUGAGACACGGUCCAGACUCCUACGGGAGGCAGCAGUGGGGAAUUUUGGACGAUGGGCGCAAGCCUGAUCCAGCAAUGCCGCGUGCAGGAUGAAGGCCUUCGGGUUGUAAACUGCUUUUGUACGGAACGAAACGGCUUUUUCUAAUACAGAGAGCUAAUGACGGUACCGUAAGAAUAAGCACCGGCUAACUACGUGCCAGCAGCCGCCGUAA
rnacentral:rRNA from 1 species